CCCUCACUUUUCCGCCUUAAAUAAUUGUUGAGCCUCUUUCCUGUAUGCUUAUGAUUCCGAAUCCCGCAGCUGGUUUUUGAAGGCCAGCCUUUCGAGUUGUUGUUGUCGAUCAGUAAUUCUCGGUCUUGACUCCUUGUCCUCCCAUACACGGUUCUAAGGCGGGCCUGGAAUUCUGUCCAGGGUCAAUCCUACACAUCCCACGCUGCCGAGAGAUGCUUCAAAGUGGACGAAGAGUGAGAGCUCGGGAGGAAGGGUGGAUCACCUCAGAUUUCGCUUACUUAGAUGACUCCUCUAUUCACUUGUUCAUCGUAGAUUGAACCGUUUUGAGCCCUCCACCGACCGCCCGCAAUAUUCAAAGUACGAAUGGUCAAGGUUUUGUCAAGAGUCUUUGAAGCAGCAACGUUUCUUUCUUUCAACGAGACUUGUAUUUUAUUGGGAGAAAUUGUUGGAUGAGCUUGUCGUGGAAAACCCCACCUUACCUUGUAGCUUUAAGAUUUUAAAGCUAAUGAACGGGAAACCAUCCACAGUAUAAGUUGAACACAAAGUCAGACAGCUGAGAAACCAACUUGAUUGGGAGCGGAGAUGGCCUUGGUAACAGCAAAGUGGAACAGGCCUCCCAACGUAUUUCAUAAACCUCUUUUUGGAGGAGGAGAGACUGGCAAGGCUCAAUGAGCCUGGCGCCUUUGAGGAAGGUUUUCAACUAGCAGUGCGGAAUAUUAGAGCCUUGGCAGGGUUUGAUUGUUACAGCUAUACAUGGGCUGACCUUCUAUCUGGGACGGCGUCAUCUGUCAUCUCAUUUGUUUAAAUGCCCAGGGACGGCCAACUAUUACUGAAGGCUGACGGCCCACGAUCAAAAUGGGUGAAACCAUCCCUCCUCCUCCUCCUCCUCCUCCACCCAAGCAACUCCCUCAAUCAAUCUAUCAACGGAGAAAACCCAAUCGGUCUUGGAAGGUGCUGAAAGAUAGUGGAUUUGGGAGUCAGGCGGACAGGGAGUUGCCACAGUGGCCAGGGAACCACGAGGGAGGGACUCGCAUGAAGUGAACGUGGUUUGGGUGGAUCAUAUUGUGUAACCCAAUGUGGCAGAGCUCGUAUCCAGUAAAUUCCCUGAUUAAAGACGUCUCAAUUUAACUGGAGGUCUAUCCAACUAUCACCGUAUACCCUUGUAGGGUUUGCUCUCAUUAGGAAACGGAGCUAAAACGACGAGUUAGGCCUUACCUUGGAUCGGUUUUCACCCUCCAUUCUUUCAAGAGGUUACUGCUAAUCAUUUCCAAUGAAUAUAGUCCAAUUUUCACGUAUAUUAUUGUUAAUAACUCAAGAUGAUUGACAUUGGAAUUCCAGGAUCGUGUAGUAAUUGGCCCCUUUUUCGCUCUGUAGUUAAUAAAACACGUUUGAUUAACUUUCAAGAAGUGCUUGGAUUUUUCUGGCAACCACUGACAUCAAAAAUAUUUUGGAACUUUACAUACACGAAUUCUUGUCACUCGUAAUCUUUAUUCGCACAAUUCAAAUUUCUUGGUUCGUCCAUCUUGUAUCACCCAAACUUGGACAGCUGAAAAACUUGAACAAAUUGGAGUGUACCCAUCGGGACUAACCUCCCACUUGACAAUGCUAGCCGGAAAAUUGAAGUCCCCUACUGUUAUGUCCUUACUCUUGCUUUUACUCUUACCCUCACACUCGCAAUAAUCACUACUCUUCUAUGUAAACUUCUCCUGUUAAAAUAAACUGGUCCGUCCGCCAUUACCUUCAUGAUUUAACACCUACAAAAAAACCUUUGAGGAAGCUGACCGGUCCAACUCCUUUCAUGUGAAAUCGAGAGCUGAUUCACUGAAUACUUAAAACGAUAUUUGGGCUUACAUGUUUAAGGUGGAUUAUUAUACUAAUCUGAGAAUCGAACCGGGGACGCCUCUCAUGCUAGGAAUACCAUAAUUAACUAAUUGAGGGAAUGUACUGCAAUGUUUGUGGAUAAUUUCUUCGCCCUUUCAUCGCAAAGCAUAUUGUUGGAAAUUGAUUUUAAAAAAGCUAAAUAAUGAACUACAAAUGACGCAUUCAUCUUCGUUUCACAAAAUUUUUUCGUUCACACCAUACUUGGAUUUGCAAUAUUUUUGGUCACACAUUUCACAAAUUGAAAAAUUGAUGAAAGAAAAACACGAGACUUUUCUUGGUUAAAUCUGCUUCCGUAAGUACCAUGCAUGAAAAAGUCAGAUUUUUUUUAAUGGGCUGAUCAUGAUUAUUGUUGACGUUGGUAUAAUAUCUCGCCACCGCAUCCUCGUUGUGUGUACAAAGAUAAAUCAUCUCAAAUUUAUAUUGAACAGAUGCAAAUCCAUUCUAUUUUUGCCUUUUAAAAACCGUUUCAAAUAGGUAUGUAGCUAAAACAAAAAAUCCACCCUCCAACAACACCUCACCUGGGAUUUGUGCCUAUGCACACAUGUUAAAGAAUUGAAAAAGCAAUAUGGUUACCGAAGCCACAUUAGUAUUUGAUAUUCGUCCCUUCGAGCAUCAUGGUCCCAAAAAUACAUUGUAAAAAUGUGUUGUUUUUGUGUGGAGCUUAUUGUGCGGUCACGAUGCUACACA